GAGGUGGCGACCGGCGCGACGGGUGAGUAACACGUAUGCAACCUGCCUGUAAGCGGGGAAUAACCCGUUGAAAGACGGACUAAUACCGCAUAAUACUAAAUUACUGCAUGGUAAUUUAUUUAAACAUUUAUGGCUUACAGAUGGGCAUGCGCAUGAUUAGCUAGUUGGAGAGGUAACGGCUCCCCAAGGCAACGAUCAUUAGGGGUUCUGAGAGGAAGGUCCCCCCACACUGGUACUGAGACACGGACCAGACUCCUACGGGAGGCAGCAGUGAGGAAUAUUGGUCAAUGGACGAGAGUCUGAACCAGCCAAGUCGCGUGCAGGAAGAAUUGUCCUAUGGAUUGUAAACUGCUUUUGCAGGGGAAUAAAGUGCAUCACGUGUGAUGUUUUGUAUGUACUCUGCGAAUAAGGAUCGGCUAACUCCGUGCCAGCCGCCGC
rnacentral:rRNA from 1 species